rnacentral:rRNA from 1 species
UACGUAGGUGGCAAGCGUUGUCCGGAAUUAUUGGGCGUAAAGGGCGCGUAGGCGGUUCGUUAAGUCAGAUGUGAAAGCCCCGGGCUCAACCUGGGAACUGCAUUUGAAACUGGCGGGCUUGAGUGUGGCAGAGGGGGGUGGAAUUCCGCGUGUAGCAGUGAAAUGCGUAGAGAUGCGGAGGAACACCGAUGGCGAAGGCAGCCCCCUGGGCCAACACUGACGCUCAGGCACGAAAGCGUGGGGAGCAAACAGG